rnacentral:lncRNA from 1 species
GUUAAACAAGUGCUUGAAGGCAGUAUGCUUGGUAAAAGUCAUCGCCAUUCUCUAAUCUUGAGUACCCAGGGACACGAUACACUGCGGAAGGCUGCAGGGACCUCUGCCCAGGAAAGCCAGGCUUGCAUGAAGGAAAUGAUUUCCUAUGAUUCUGCUUACUGCUUAAAAAAAUUAAUCAAGUUUUCUGCCUGACAAGGAUCACUCUAAGCUCCAGUGUCAAGGAGUCAAGUCCUUCAGGAAUUCUCUGCCUCCACUCCCUGUGGCAGAGCUAGAGUGGCUGCCAUGCUUCUGAGCUCAGCCAGCAUCCAGAGAGAGAGUGAGAUACAGCCUCCUCUUCUUGAAGCACCCACUUCUAAACUCUGUGACAGUUUUCUUGGAACUCUGUUAUGUGGAUCUGGAGAUGACAAUGUCACAGCACUCCCCUCUAAGCCUAAAUUCCCCCACACCGAUGAACUAUUAGUUUUCUAAGGAUAAUGGUCUCCAGCUUCGUCAAUGUUCCUGCAAAGGACAUGAUGCUGACUUUGAAGAUGCAAGCUUCCACAUCUACAGCCUCAAGGAAACAAAUUCAGCCAACCAACUGAGGGAGCUUUCCUUGUCCUGCCUCAAGAUGAGAUCACAGUCUGCCCAACACCAUGAUUUAGGCCUUGUGACACCUGGUAUGGAAGACCCAGUUAAGUUCUCUCCAAACUCUUGACCCACAGAACCUGUGAGAAAAUAUAUGGAUAUUAUUUUAAACUGCUAAAUUUGUAGUAAUUUGUUAUGCAGCAAUAAAAAAAACUAAUGCAAGGAGAUAUCAA